rnacentral:misc_RNA from 1 species
AAGUCGUAACAAGGUUUCCGUAGGUGAACCUGCGGAAGGAUCAUUAACACUUUUUCAUUUUAUUGAAAAUUUAUUUUUCAAUAAUUUACUUUUACCCACAUUUUUGGAUGAAUUAUUUCUUUUUUAUUCUUUUUUAAAAUUUUAAACCCAAAUACCAUAUUAUUUCUAACAUUUAUACACAAAAAGUUUAAGAAAAACAUAAAAAAACAACUCUUAACAACGGAUAUCUAGGCUCUC